CAGAAGGACCACUUUCUGUAUCAUUCAACGCUAAAGGAGCGAUUCCUUUUUUGGUUUAUUUUAAGCUGAUGAAGUAGUUUCCUGUUCAACAGGAUUCUAUCAUGAUGAUGAAAAAAAAAUUGUCUUGUGUAUAAUAGCUGGUUUUAACCCAUAAGUAAGUGCCAUUGCAGGUGACAGAAAAAUCCUGAUAUUUUUUUCUGUACAAAAGUGAUUUCUUUAACUUGUUUUCUUAUUUAGAUGGUGAAGGGGGAUGGUUGGAACACAUUCAUUAACAGUAGGGGUACAUACAGAGGUGCCUUUUGUUUUCCCUCUUCUUAUUUAGAUGGUGAAGGGGGAUGGUUGGAACACAUUCAUUAACAGUAGGGGUACAUAGAGGUGCCUUUUGUUUUCCCUCUUCUUAUUUAGAUGGUGAAGGGGGAUGGUUGGAACACAUUCAUUAACAGUAGGGGUACAUAGAGGUGCCUUUUGUUUUCCCUCUUCUUAUUUAGAUGGUGAAGGGGGAUGGUUGGAACACAUUCAUUAACAGUAGGGGUACAUACAGAGGUGCCUUUUGUUUUCCCUCUUCUUAUUUAGACGGUGAAGGGGGAUGGUUGGAACACAUUCAUUAACAGUAGGGGUACAUACAGAGGUGCCUUUUGUUUUCCCUUUUUUUGUAUUUUAAAUACUUUUCUAGGCGGAGCUUAAUUCUUAUUUAGAAAAAUAUGGUCUGGUUGAACAUAUUAGUCGUGAUUAAGCAAUGAACCUUGAACUCACUAUAUUUGAGUUGUGCAGUUGAAAUAAUAUUUUAUUUUAAACUUAUUGCAGUUCAUUGAUCGCAUCAUAAAACUAGGAACCAGGAGGCCAAAACUCAGGACUAUGAUUGUCCAGGAAAGUUAACAUUCCAGUAAACUGGAUAAGGUAGAAGAAUCAUCUUGCUCUGAAUAUAUAUAUUUUUGACAUGUAGCUUGUUUUGGGGGAAAUCUAAAUUAAAUAACCUCAGUGAAAUUGAGCCAAUGCAUAUUUUAAUCGUGGUGGUUGAGCUUACAUCUAAAUUGAAAAUAUGAACCAAUUAAUAUGGCUCUUCAAUGUAAUAUUGAAUAAUACAUGUGAUGGGCACCAUGCCACAAACAAGUGAUUGUUCUUUAAAUUGCCAAAUACUUUUUUUUUUCAAUUGUUAGAUUGGACUUGACACACAAGGGAUAGUAUCCUCAAUGCCCUUGUCGUUUUGGUGAAACUCCAUUCUAGCCCUGUUCUAGAUCUGGUGCUAACAUGCAAUCUUGACCACAUUUCUAGACCAGUGUAGACAAUUAAUUGUGAACAGAUCUUCCCGACCACCUCUCGAGGUAGCCAGGGACAAAUUGAUUGGAUGAAAGUUCAGUGGGCAGAGCUUAGUGACAUGUCACUGGGUGGAGUUUACGAGUCAAGUAAAGACAGGUGUUUCAGGGAGGUGGAGUGCUUGUGGGAGGGUGUUAAAACAGGUUGCGACAGAUGGUGUUGCCAGUUUGAAUCCAAAUGCAGCUCUUGUUUUCCAACCUACUUAAAAUGUUUUAGUACAUAUCUGACAUUCUAAAAUGACUAAAGGAAUGAACAGCUAAAGGAAUGAACAGCUUUAUAGAAUGUACACCCAACAAAAAACAAACUAUUUCCAUGAAGUCCAUCUGAUUAAGGUAGGCUCCCAGGGCAGCAGAAUGUUCAACAUAUCACUUACUGCAUCAUAAUUCUGUUCUAGAUGGUGCCCUCCCUCCUGCUGGUGCUGUGGACUAUGACCACAAGGUCACAGGUUCAAGUCUUGCCAAUUACCUUUCUCAACUUGUAUUUUGAACCCUAGUCCCUCCCUGUAAUCAAAUGAUGAGAUUCCCAAUGUUAAGACAUAUUGAUCCCUUGAAUCAAUGAUUUGAGGGACUAUUUAAAAUGGUUUGACAAUCCAGAUCUGUUUACACUUGUAAGAUAUCAAGAUACAAUUAGUCCUCGAUGGCCUCUGGAGGUAGUCAGGAAGAAUCACCAUCAAUAGUUGUAAUAUUCUACACGGUCUAGAAAUGGUCACAAUCAGAAUAUGGACAAGAUCAAGGACACAGGACCCAUGUUAACACCAGGUAUAAAACGGGGCUUCGAAUGGCAAACUGACAUUGUUGGAUUAAAAUGUUAAACAAAAGAGACUUAAAAGAUUCAGGCUGUAUCAGAAGGAACUUACACCCGAGCCAAAACAGAUUUACUUAACAUACUGUACGAAAGUAAUAUUGACCCUUUUCAACCAUGGGAUUUCAUUUAUCACAUUGAUACUACUGUACCACAACACCAAUAAAAUAAAUGCAUACAUAGUU